rnacentral:sRNA from 1 species
GUUUUGUAAAGGUCAGCUGUUCUAUGAAAUGCAGCCGUUGCAUGAAAAUACAAAAGCUAACGGCAAAAUGGAUCAAUAAGACAGCUCUAUGGCCGCAGCUAGUGUUUAGGUACAGAAAACUCGACAAAAGAAGUUGUAAUUUUACUUCAAGUCGGUUGUUCUACAUUAGAAGACACCAAGAAAAGAGCAAU